GACGAACGCUGGCGGCGUGCUUAACACAUGCAAGUCGAACGGUAAGGCCCCAGCUUGCUGGGGUACUCGAGUGGCGAACGGGUGAGUAACACGUGGGUAACCUGCCCCGCACUUCGGGAUAAGCCCGGGAAACUGGGUCUAAUACCGGAUACGACCUCACCGUGUGUGUGGGGUGGACGUUUUUUCCGUGGGGGAUGGGUCUGCUCCCUACCUGCUAGUUGGUGGGGGAGUGGCCUACCAAGGCGGCGACGGGUAGCCGGCCUGGGUGCGCGGACGGACACAUUGGGACUGAGAAACGGCACAGACUCCUGCGGGAGGCAGCAGUCGGGAAUAUUGCACAAUGAGCGGAAGCCUAAUGCAGAAACGCCGCGUGUGGGAUGACGGCCUUAGGGUGGUACACUAAUUUCACCCUGGACGAACGUUUGCUGACGGUAAAUGGAGAAGAAGCACCGGCUAACUACGUG
rnacentral:rRNA from 1 species